GUGCUCCUGCACAGCAGUGAGGGCGCUUCCUUCUAAAGGGCGCGGAGGCCCUGGGCCCAGGAAGCGACUGCACCUUUUCCUACCACUCGAGACACCCGAGAGAAUAGAUCUCCGCGAGGCUGCGGAAAGGGCGCGCCAGGGAAGGGGAGGGAUGUACCUACCUAAUUAAGUAGGGAUUGUAGCCCUUGACCUCGGUCAUCGGGUGUAAUAUAAAAGUUGUACACUUAACGCGGGUCAGACUAUUGCUUGGAGCUCUGUGCGCCCUGUAAACCCUGUUUUAAUGGGAUAAGUACAUAGGUUCAGAGAGGCUAUGUGGCAGCCAAGUCACACAGCUGCCAAGGGGUGAAGAUAGGAUUUGAACCCACAGAGUCCUACUGUAGGUUUACACAGAAGAAAAUCUCAGAUAAGACACCCAAAUGCCUUCUUUAUGUUCCUUAAAAAUCAGCUAGAAAAAUUUAAUUGUUUUUGUUUUCAUAACAGGAUUCUGAGGAUCACAAAAAAGAAACGGUAUGCUUGCUCUGCAAUAAAACUGGUUGGGAGAGGCCGGUGGACAGUGCCUCCUCGUCGACCUCACUACUUUUACAGGGAAGGGGGAUUCACUGGGAGGGAUUUCACACAGUGUGGUGCAGUCCUCAGACUGGUGAUUAAGUCUGGGGAAAGCUGCAUUGGUCUAAUAGUGAGCGUGAAUUUCUGCGAGCCGUCAGCCCACGCGUCUACCGUCAGUUUUCUGUUGCUGUAACAAAAUACUUGAGUCUGGGUAAUUUAGAGAGAUUUAUUUUGGCUCGCAGUUCUGGAGGUUUGUUAGUCCAAGAGCACCGUGCCAGCUUCUGCUCAGAUCCUGGCAAGGGACCAGCACCACCCCAAAUCCCUGAGGGAAACAGGAGGCACCUGAGGAAGAAGGAGAGCAGAGGGGACUGUAACCCCACUCUAGCUAGAGCAGAACUAACUCACAGCAGAACUCCAUUCAAUGAGGGCUUUCCUAUUCCAAACACCUCCCAAGAGGGCCCACCUCCCAACACAGCACUGAGGAAUCAAAGUUCCAAACCAUGAAGUUUUGGAGGACAUAUUCAAACCAUAGAACUUCCCUUUGGAUUGAGUUUGGUGGCAAUCUUACAGCGUUCAGCUUUAGCAAGACUCUUACUUAAUAAUUCAGGACUGCUGCACGCAUCCAUCUCUCACCAGACAGCAAUAGAUGGAAAUUACCGGUGGACUGAUGCCAAUUCCGAACUGUCAGCAUUCCUAAAAGCCUUUAUCACAGUAUCUCUGCACGAAUGAGGGCAGAUGGAAGUUGCCUGUGUACCUAGUAUGUUUCUAUUUUUAAAAAUAUAAAACAUAGUUGUUCCUAAGACCUGUUUAACUCCUCAGUGGUGCCAUACAAUUUUCAGAUCAACUAGUCGCAUGCCUUCCUGACAUAGCAAAUAGCUAAGGAAUGUCCUUGGGCUCAGCUGUUGUUCUAGGACAUGCCUCAAACCUGUUGGAUAAAUGCUGUCAAUGAUAAGUGCUCAUCAAAUACGGCAAACUAAAGCUGCUGACAAUGGUGCAUCUUCAGAAUCUCAGGCCUCGGGUUCUUCCAGGUUUAUAGUGCAAACCUCAUUAGAAGGCUCACUUGGAACCUGUGAUGGAGACUUGGGUAGAUGCAAAGCAGCCUGUUCAUGCCCCUGAUUUAACCCAAGAUGGGGCUCUCGAGGAAGUGGGACUCCAUGUCAUGCUUAUUAAUAAUCUUUACAACUUACCAACCAAAGCAAAGACCUAAGACCCAAGGAGUUCCUUUCAGUCAACAGCACGCUAUAUGGGGAUUUCACUUCCCAAAUCUCAAACUUGAAUUAUUUGCUGCAAAUAACUUUCUGAAAGAACAGUUAAGCUACAGGAUAGUUUAAAGUAGAGGUUUGAAAUGCCUUGUGCUGUAUUGAUUCCAAGGAACAGCUUAAGCUCGUGUGAUCAGGACUGGAAUGUGCUUCUCAGGGGGCAGAGAAGGAUGACUGUGGCACCUCACAGCAUGGAAGGAUCCAGGUGAGGCUGCUCUACCUGGUCUCCGCUUCUUCUUGUCCCUGCCUGGGCUCUGUUCUGCCACCCUCCAUGUGCUGGGGAAGCUGGCCGUGGGCUGAAACUCUAUGUAAGGAGAACAUCUGUCUUCCACUAUGGUGGACCAGGCUGGCCUUGGGUUCCACCCAGUGCUCAAACACUGGUUCUGUCAUCAGAAAAGGGUUGAGUGAAACACUGCAGGAAUCCACAGUCUACUCCACUUAUGUGUUUCUGCUCAUUGUUCUCUUUGGGUUGCAGGAAAACCCAAACCUGUUAUUAUUAUUAUUAUUAUUAUUAUUAUUAUUAUCAUUAUCGUUAUCAUUAUUACUAUUAUUAUCAAUCAGAUAGGUGCAUUUUCCCUGGAGCCAAUAGCCAAGAAAGCUGUCAGGACUGAAGUGAACUUUCUUGGGCCUCUCCCUCCAGCAUGACGUUCUGGGUCCUUGCUCUUGCAAGGCAGGCAGCGGAACCACUGAGCUAAAUCCCCGGCCUUGGAAGCCCUCAUUUAGAAGAUGCAGCACUUCAUGCAAAACUCAUUGCAGGCAAUACAUGAGUCCCUUCUGCUCGGCAUUGUUGGGGUGAAUCUCGCCAGCUCAGCACAGGGAUGAUUCCCUGGGAAUGGAAAGGAGGCCACAGUCUGCAGCUGUCUUUGCACGUUCGUGUCCAGGUUUCUCCUACCACCUGGUCCAGUUCCGAACAGUACCUCUUCCGACGAUGGAGCAAGAAGCUGGCUCCCCACAACUUUGAUUGGCAGAUGAGUUUACUUUCCCAAUUCUUUGACUAAAAAAUUCUUUGACACACACACACACACACACACACACACACACACACACACACACACACACAAAUCUUCAGGAAAAUGGAGGACAGUGUUUUUCAUUUUCUAAAAUUAAAUAUUGCCAGGCUAUCAGGAAAAUAUAGUCAAGUAAAGCAAUCCCCCCCAGACAAAAAAAGACAGUGUACAUUUGGACUCAGCUAAAUCUCAGCAUCUAGGCAUAAACAUGUCAGCUGGUGCGGCUUUCAGAUUUCCAAUGUUGUCUUAUUGGAAGAUCUAAAUUCAAGUCUUAUUUUUUCUCCUGCCUUUAGUUUCUUAGUUUUUAGUGUUAGAUCUGGUUUUUUCACACAGUUGUGUUCUCUUUCCAUAAAAGGGAUUAAAAAUUCAAGUCAAAAACUGUAGUUAUGGGCCGGGGAUUUAGCUCAAUGGUUCCGCUGCCUGCCUUGCCAGUACAAGGUCCCAAGUUCGGUCCCCAGUACCCAAAAUAAAACAAAACAAAACAAACUGUAGUUAUAUCCAGGGUUUGAGAAAAUAAUUAGCAGUGAAAUAACAAAAGUAGUUAUUCUUCUUCUACACAAAUCCCCAAAGAAAAUGGAAGGGCAGGAUAAUUAUAUGUUAGCUCUUUAAAUAUUGAUUCCCAAGAUGAGUUUUCCCUUCUGCUACCAAAGCAGUUGUUUCUCAGCUGUGGCCUGGUCUUUUGUUGAAGUGCUUUGGUUAGAAAGCUCUGAAUAUUAGAAGGUUCCUCCUAACACCAAGAAAAGUCCACAUUGAAUUUUCUUGUCUUCUGCAAAACUCAAAGUGACCCUUUGGAGUGGCAGGAAUUAAGACCAAUUCUCCUUUCAUGCAACAAGUCAUAGGAUGGCUAUUGUGCUACCUCUGCCCCAUCCUUUCAUUUUUUUUUUUUUAAUUCCCGGUUAUUUCAUCAUUUGAAUAAAUUGGUUCCGAGAAUCUUACUCAACUUAUCUGUGCCUUCUAGACAAUGCAGUUCCUUACUACAUCUAUCUAAGAAUGUGCCUGUACCUGAGCACAAUACCCCAGAGGUCACAGUCCCCCUUAACCAGCAAUGUGGUUACUUUUUAUCAUGCAUAGUGUUUCUUUUAAUGCAGACUAAGUUUUUGGUUUACUUCAGCUAAAAUCCUCAUCUUUUACUAUAGGACCUGAUGGCUGGUUGUCCUAAAUUGCCUUUGUACAAUUAUUUUUUUUAAAAACUACAUGAGAGACUUUACAUUUAUUCAUAUUAAAUGCCUCUUGUGGCUUUAGGACAGUGUUCUGCUAAAGGCAGCUCAUGCUGCUAUUCUCUCUGGCCCUGAGGUGCAGAGACCAGAUGGAACAAGAAAACCACAUGGGAAAAAUAAAUCUGUGGCCAGUGAUGUCUGGCCACAUUACUUCUAGGAAAAGAUCUUUGGAAUGUGGUUGUCACCCUGUACACUUACAUUAUUAUACAUCCAUAUUAUGAUGCAUAUUUCAUUGUCUUUCUGUUUUGACCAGAUAUAAAUUCUUACAACACGCAUAGUACACAAAUAGACUUCUGUGCCAAAGGAGUCAGUCAAUAUAUAAUACACAGAAAAGUGGGGAAACCCACACUCCUAUUCCUUCCCAGAACUAACUACAGGAACUGUGUGCCUUCUAUUGAUGUUCAUGAAUGUGGCUGUACAUAUAUGUAUAUUUUUAAUACAAAUGAG